rnacentral:rRNA from 1 species
GUAGUCAUAUGCUUGUCUCAAAGAUUAAGCCAUGCAUGUCUAAGUAUAAGCAAUCUAUACCGUGAAACUGCGAAUGGCUCAUUAAAUCAGUUAUCGUUUAUUUGAUAGUACCUUACUACUUGGAUAACCGUGGUAAUUCUAGAGCUAAUACAUGCUAAAAACCUCGACUUCGGAAGGGGUGUAUUUAUUAGAUAAAAAACCAAUGCCCUUCGGGGCUCCUUGGUGAUUCAUAAUAACUUAACGAAUCGCAUGGCCUUGUGCCGGCGAUGGUUCAUUCAAAUUUCUGCCCUAUCAACUUUCGAUGGUAGCGUAGUGGGCUACCAUGGUUUCAACGGGUAACGGGGAAUUAGGGUUCUAUUCCGGAGAGGGAGCCUGAGAAACGGCUACCACAUCCAAGGAAGGCAGCAGGCGCGCAAAUUACCCAAUCCCGACACGGGGAGGUAGUGACAAUAAAUACUGAUACAGGGCUCUUUUGGGUCUUGUAAUUGGAAUGAGUACAAUUUAAAUCCCUUAACGAGGAACAAUUGGAGGGCAAGUCUGGUCCAGCAGCCGCGGUAAUUCCAGCUCCAAUAGCGUAUAUUAAAGUUGUUGCAGUUAAAAAGCUCGUAGUUGAACCUUGGGCCUGGUUGGCCGGUCCGCCUCACCGCGUGCACUGGUCCGACCGGGUCUUUCCUUCUGAGGAACUGCAUGCCCUUCACUGGGUGUGUCAGGGAAUCAGGACUUUUACUUUGAAAAAAUUAGAGUGUUCAAAGCAGGCCUAUGCUCGAAUACAUUAGCAUGGAAUAAUAGAAUAGGACGUGUGGUUCUAUUUUGUUGGUUUCUAGGACCGCCGUAAUGAUUAAUAGGGAUAGUUGGGGGUAUCAGUAUUCAAUUGUCAGAGGUGAAAUUCUUGGAUUUAUUGAAGACUAACUACUGCGAAAGCAUUUACCAAAGAUGUUUUCAUUAAUCAGUGAACGAAAGUUAGGGGAUCGAAGACGAUUAGAUACCGUCGUAGUCUUAACCAUAAACUAUGCCGACUAGGGAUCGGGCGAUGUUAUCUUUUUGACUCGCUCGGCACCUUACGAGAAAUCAAAGU